CUCGUUGGCCUCGGUGCCGGGCGACCCGCUACGAUGCCUCCAGUGCCGCGGUCACCGACCUGCGGCGCAGU
rnacentral:tRNA from 1 species